AGAGUUUGAUUAUGGCUCAGGAUUAACGCUGGCGGCGUGCAUAACACAUCAAGUCGAACGGAGAAGGGGCUUCGGCCCCGGAUCAGUGGCGGACGGGUGAGUAACGCGUGAGUAACCUGCCUGUGUGAGGGGAAUAACAGAUCGAAAGGCCUGCUAAUACCGCAUGACGUACGACUGUCGCAUGGCAGAGGUACCAAAGAUUUAUCGCACACAGAUGGACUCGCGUUGGAUUAGACAGUUGGCGGGGUAACGGCCCACCAAAUCAACGAUCCAUAGCCGGACUGAGAGGUUGAACGGCCACAUUGGAACUGAGAAACGGUCCAGACUCCUACGGGAGGCAGCAGUGGGGAAUAUUGGGCAAUGGGCGAAAGCCUGACCCAGCGACGCCGCGUGAGGGAAGAAGGUCUUCGGAUUGUAAACCUCUUUCAGCAGGGAAGAAGACAGUGACGGUACCUGCAGAAGAAGCCACGGCUAACUACGUGCCAGCCGCCGC
rnacentral:rRNA from 1 species